rnacentral:lncRNA from 1 species
GUCGUUUCUCUGGGAAGCUGAGAUCGGUCCGGAGUUCCCUCUAAAGCAGAAGUUCUUAAAAUGUAUUCCAAUGGCAUUAGCAACGUCUGGAACUUGUUAGAAAUGCAGAUUCUCUGGCCCCACCUCCUGAGUCGGAAACUCUGGGAGAAGGGACCGGCGAUCUGCGUUUGAACAAGCCCUCCAGGAACUGACCUCCCACACCUCCAAGGACUUGGAGAGGAGACCAAGGGGAAGAAAUUUGACUCCGUGCCUAGUAUCUAGUGGUCUAGAGUACAUACAUUAAGUCACUGCAACAAAUAUUUCAAGAGAAAAAGUCUGUCAUCUGCCUUGAUGAGAUCAGCCCUACUUUGAAAAGCUGAGGAUUUCAGACAACUGAGAAGCUCUCACGGAACACAUAAAGCUGCCCUGCCCUCCCCAGCUGCCUCCAUCCCAGGCCGCAGGGGCCUCCGUCAUCCCGAGGGAGCCAGCGUGGAAUGAGGCUGCCAUAAGGGAGCAGGUGGGCACAGCCCACACAUCCCAGCAGUGACCAGAUCUGCCCUGUGAGCUACCUGGGAAUGGAAUUUCAGCCUGGGAACCCCUGCUGCUCCUGCUGAGAAGGCAUGAUAGGCGGAGGCAGGCAUGAUGUGCAACGGAGGGCCUGGCCAGGCCUCCCCAACCACGCUCUCUCCUCUCUUUUUCUCUCCUUUUCUCCUCUCUCUCUCAAACCUAUGUAAUCUCUAAGCAUAUUUCUGUAAAGCCAUUGAUUAACUGAAAAUGUGAAGUAACGCUGUUUGAAUGGGGUAGGAGAGGAAGCUUAGAGAAGAGCCAUAGUUAAUAAAAGCUUACAGAG